rnacentral:snRNA from 1 species
GUUGUUGUAAAACAUAAUAGGAAC